CUUGUUACCGCGGGGCCGCGGUUGCCAUGGACUCCCAAACGCGGAAGCGCCGCGGAGCCAGGCGGCCUGCAGCGGAGCCAGGCGGCCAACCUCGCCCGGGCUGCGCGGGCUGAGAUGGUGGAGCGCCCCCCGGCCUGGCUGCAGACGUCGAGCGUGUGGCCUGCGCUGCGCGGGGCUCCUUCGGGCGGCCAUGUCUUCUCGGGGGCCCAGCGAGACCGCCUCGGAGCGGGAGCUGGAGCUGGUAGACGACAGUCUUUCUGCGGGCACUUACGAAUCUGAUACCGAAACGAAGCCCAAGAGGAAAGCUUCUCGCAAGCCUCCAAAAUCCCCAAAGUCCCCUUACUCCUCCAGCAACAUUCUCCACCCGAAAAAGCCGUCGUUCCUGAGAUCCUUCAAGGGA